ACUGCACCCCGUCGCACCUAGGUCACCGCCGUGGAGCCGUCGCCACCGUUCCACCGAGCCGCUGCUGUCAUCGCGUACCAGAGGAGAAGACGAACGCGAGGAGAGGGAGAGCUCGUGCAUGAAGGGUACCGCCGCUGUGCCGCCGUCGCGCCUCCAUCAUCGUCGAACUGCCUUGCUAUCGUUAGCUCCAUCGGGUCUGGUUGCCGUCGAGGGAACUGUCACCGUCGCGGCUGUGGGCAUGGGAUUUGAAGGGAAGAGACGCGAAUGGCCAGGGAGAAGGGGAGAAGAACGCCGCUGUUCCGCCAUUCCUCAUCAUGGCUGAAGCUUGCCGUCACUGGCUAUCGCCGCUGUCGGAACCCUAGCCGUCGCCGUUGGAGGAGCCAUUGCCGGGCGAAACCCCAGCGGUCACAGCUACUAUACAAGCCACCAAUAGGGAGAGCGGCUACUGUGUGGGAAGACGAAGGAGGUAACGAAGGUACCUGGUGCCGCUAUUACCAUCGCUGUCGCCAGAGUUUCUAAUUGCUGCCAUUAUGAAUGUAUCGCUGAGUUCUGCAGUACCGGUUGAGAUCAUGACUACUGCAGACGUGUUCGAAAUCAGAGCUACUGCCACUGCUCCAGCUACAUUGGGGGUUGCUGCCGCUGCUGAGAAUUAAUGAUAAAAAGGGUAUUAUUGCGUUUAAAUUCUACGAUUCCGGGCAAUCGAGUGACAGGUUCAAGGACUCAAUUUGAAGCUGCGGGCGAUUAUUAGACUUAUUUAUGAGUUAAGUUUAUGAGUUGAGUUGCUUUCAUAGAAUUCCCUCGUCUUUGUUGUUUAAGAUUUUAUUUUAUACAGAGGG